rnacentral:rRNA from 1 species
AUGGCCACGACCAGCACCAAGCACGUCCUUCUGUUCCCCUUCCCCGGCCAGGGCCACCUCGCCGCCUUGCUAGAAGUCGCGCGGCUCCUCCGCCGAGCCCUCCCCGCCGACGUCAAGAUUACCAUCGUCUCAACCCCGCGCAACGUUGCCGCCCUACGCGCUUCCUCCUCCGCGUCGCCCUCGUCCUCGGUCAUCAGCUUCCACGCGCUGCCGUUCGUCCCGGCCGACCACGGCCUCCCAGCCGACUGCGAGUCCACUAUCUCCCUCCCGCUCCCGGCGUUCCUCCUCCUCUUCGAGGCCUUCGAGUCGCUCGAGCCCGCCUUCGACGCCUACGUGUCCGGCCUCGUCGAGGACAAGGACGACUGCGUCGUCAUCGCCGACGUGUUCGUCGCGUGGACGGUGCGCGUCGCGCGCCGGCGCGGGUGCGGGCACGCUAUCCUCGUGUCCUGCGGCGCGCUCGGCACGGCCAUCCUGCACGCCCUGUGGAAGAACAUGCCGGCUCUGCCUUUCCACGACGACGGUCAGCUGCUCCGCCUGCUCGAGCACCCGGAGGUGGAGCUCCACCGAUCCCAGCUGUCACAGGUGUUUCUCUCCGGCCCGUCUCCCGGCAUGGACCGGGUGACUGCGUACAUGCACCGGCAGAUACGGCAUGGGUACCUGACGGACGCGGUGCUGGUGAACACGGUAGAGGAGCUGGAGCCAACCGGACUGGCCAUGGUGCACCGCACUAUCGGCAGCAAGGUCCCGGUCUGGCCCAUCGGCGCUCUCGUCCGCGAUGGUUCCGGUUCGGAUACGGCCCCGUCCGAGACCGACGCCGCCGUCAUGCGCUGGCUGGACUCGCAGCAGAGGGCAUCCGUUCUGUACAUCUCGUUCGGGCCGCAGAACUCGAUACUUCCGAAGCAGAUGAUGGAGCUGGCCACGGCACUGGAGUCCACCGGCCGGCCUUUCGUCUGGGCCUUCCGGCUGCCGGCGGCGCUCGACGUCGACGGCGCCGAAGAGUGUCUGCCGGAGGGGUUCGAGGCGCGGGCGAGCGCUGCUAGCCGGGGCCUCCUGCUCCAUGGAUGGGCGCCGCAGGUGAGGAUCCUCGCGCACGUCUCCACGGGGGCGUUCCUGAGCCACUGCGGGUGGAACUCUGUGCUGGAGAGCCUGACGCACGGCGUGCCCAUCGUCGGGUGGCCGCUCUCGGCGGAGCAGUUCUACAACGUCAAGAUGCUGGCGGAGGACUGGGGCGCGUGCGUGGAGCUGGCGCGGGGGAACGACCCGGAGAGCCCGGUCGCGGAGAGCCGCGAGGUGGCGGAGGUGAUCGAGACGGUGAUGGGGGACACGGCGAUGCGGCGGCGGGUGGUGGAGGUCCGGGAGCUGAUGAAGAGGGCGUGGGCGGAGGAUGGCAGAUCGUCCAGGACGGCACUCGGAGAGUUCUUCACAGCCAUGCAGCUGCACUGA